rnacentral:rRNA from 1 species
ACUCCUACGGGAGGCAGCAGUGGGGAAUAUUGCGCAAUGGGCGAAAGCCUGACGCAGCGACGCCGCGUGAGGGAUGACGGCCUUCGGGUUGUAAACCUCUUUCAGCAGGGACGAAGCGCAAGUGACGGUACCUGCAGAAGAAGCACCGGCCAACUACGUGCCAGCAGCCGCGGUAAUACGUAGGGUGCAAGCGUUGUCCGGAAUUAUUGGGCGUAAAGAGCUCGUAGGCGGUUUGUCGCGUCGGCUGUGAAAACUCGGGGCUCAACCCCGAGCCUGCAGUCGAUACGGGCAGACUAGAGUGCUGUAGGGGAGACUGGAAUUCCUGGUGUAGCGGUGAAAUGCGCAGAUAUCAGGAGGAACACCGGUGGCGAAGGCGGGUCUCUGGGCAGUAACUGACGCUGAGGAGCGAAAGCGUGGGGAGCGAACAGGAUUAGAUACCCUGGUAGUCCACGCCGUAAACGGUGGGUGCUAGGUGUGAGCGGUAUUCCACGCCGUUCGUGCCGCAGCUAACGCAUUAAGCACCCCGCCUGGGGAGUACGGCCGCAAGGCUAAAACUCAAAGGAAUUGACGGGGGCCCGCACAAGCAGCGGAGCAUGUGGCUUAAUUCGACGCAACGCGAAGAACCUUACCAAGGCUUGACAUACACCGAAAACUCGUAGAGAUACGGGGUCCGCAAGGGCGGUGUACAGGUGGUGCAUGGUUGUCGUCAGCUCGUGUCGUGAGAUGUUGGGUUAAGUCCCGCAACGAGCGCAACCCUCGUUCUAUGUUGCCAGCGGGUUAUGCCGGGGACUCAUAGGAGACUGCCGGGGUCAACUCGGAGGAAGGUGGGGACGACGUCAAAUCAUCAUGCCCCUUAUGUCUUGGGCUGCACACAUGCUACAAUGGCCGGUACAAAGGGCUGCUAAACCGCGAGGUGGAGCGAAUCCCAAAAAGCCGGUCUCAGUUCGGAUUGGGGUCUGCAACUCGACCCCAUGAAGUCGGAGUUGCUAGUAAUCGCAGAUCAGCAACGCUGCGGUGAAUACGUUCCCGGGCCUUGUACACACCGCCCGU